CCCUGCAGAGAGGGAGGAGAUCUUCCUCACAACCAGUGUCCCUGUGAAGAAUGGACACAAUCAUCCACAACCACCUCCCAUCAUCCCCAUGGUGGCACCACUGUGGAAAUGGGAUGGUGGAGCGUGUACUCCACCUGUGGAUUUCUAUUCCAAGAGAAGAGAUUGUCUGGGAUCCAACUCUGCACAGAUGGGUUAACAAAACUGAGCCCAAGGCUGAGAACAAGUGUGUACCACCACCUCCACCGAUGGGGACAUAUGGAUAUCAGGGGAACACUGGCAGUGUCCCCAAAGGAG